UACGAAGGUCCCGAGCGUUAUUCGGAAUCACUGGGCGUAAAGGGAGCGUAGGCGGCGCGGUAAGUCGGAUGUGAAAUCCCGGGGCUCAACCCCGGAACUGCAUCUGAUACUGCCGUGCUAGAGUAAUGGAGGGGUAGCUGGAAUUCUUGGUGUAGCAGUGAAAUGCGUGGAUAUCAAGAGGAACACUCGUGGCGAAAGCGAGCUACUGGACAUUCACUGACGCUGAGGCUCGAAGGCCAGGGGAGCGAAAGGG
rnacentral:rRNA from 1 species